AUUGAACGCUGGCGGCAUGCCUUACACAUGCAAGUCGAACGGUAACGGGCCUUCGGUGCCGACGAGUGGCGAACGGGUGAGUAAUGUAUCGGAACGUACCUUUCAGUGGGGGAUAACGUAGCGAAAGUUACGCUAAUACCGCAUAUUCUGUGAGCAGGAAAGCAGGGGAUCGCAAGACCUUGCGCUGAUUGAGCGGCCGAUAUCAGAUUAGCUAGUUGGUGAGGUAAAGGCUCACCAAGGCGACGAUCUGUAGCGGGUCUGAGAGGAUGAUCCGCCACACUGGAACUGAGACACGGUCCAGACUCCUACGGGAGGCAGCAGUGGGGAAUUUUGGACAAUGGGCGCAAGCCUGAUCCAGCCAUGCCGCGUGAGUGAAGAAGGCCUCGGUUGUAA
rnacentral:rRNA from 1 species